UAGGGAAUCUUCCACAAUGGGCGCAAGCCUGAUGGAGCAACACCGCGUGAGUGAAGAAGGGUUUCGGCUCGUAAAGCUCUGUUGUUAAAGAAGAACACGUAUGAGAGUAACUGUUCAUACGUUGACGGUAUUUAACCAGAAAGUCACGGCUAACUACGUGCCAGCAGCCGCGGUAAUACGUAGGUGGCAAGCGUUAUCCGGAUUUAUUGGGCGUAAAGAGAGUGCGGGCGGUUUUCUAAGUCUGAUGUGAAAGCCUUCGGCUUAACCGGAGAAGUGCAUCGGAAACUGGAUAACUUGAGUGCAGAAGAGGGUAGUGGAACUCCAUGUGUAGCGGCGGAAUGCGUAGAUAUAUGGAAGAACACCAGUGGCGAAGGCGGCUACCUGGUCUGCAACUGACGCUGAGACUCGAAAGCAUGGGUAGCGAACAGGAUUAGAUACCCUGGUAGUCCAUGCCGUAAACGAUGAGUGCUAGGUGUUGGAGGGUUUCCGCCCUUCAGUGCCGGAGCUAACGCAUUAAGCACUCCGCCUGGGGAGUACGACCGCAAGGUUG
rnacentral:rRNA from 1 species